UCAUUUCUUCGGGGCAAGGUGAAAUUCCUGACCGACGGUAACAGUCAUCAUGACUGAAGUCCGUGACCCGCAAUUUUUGCGGCUGAUGCAGUGCGAAUCUGCAACCGACAGUUAAAGUCUGGAUGGGAGAAGAGUUGA
rnacentral:ncRNA from 2 species